rnacentral:rRNA from 1 species
UACGUAGGGUGCAAGCGUUGAUCGGAAUUACUGGGCGUAAAGCGUGCGCAGGCGGCUAUGCAAGACAGAUGUGAAAUCCCCGGGCUCAACCUGGGAACUGCAUUUGUGACUGCAUGGCUAGAGUACGGUAGAGGGGGAUGGAAUUCCGCGUGUAGCAGUGAAAUGCGUAGAUAUGCGGAGGAGCACCGAUGGCGAAGGCAAUCCCCUGGACCUGUACUGACGCUCAUGCACGAAAGCGUGGGGAGCAAACAGG